rnacentral:rRNA from 1 species
GUGAGCUAAUACCUUAAACGGCCGCGUUAGCGUGAGCGUGCUAAGGUAGCGUAAUAAAUAGCCCCUUAAUUGGGGGCCAGUGAAUGGCAAGACUAGGAACAUUUGUACCUUUUAUAUGAGAAAAACUUUUCAUCUUGGUGAAAAGACCAAGAUACUUAAGGAAGACGAAAAGACCCCGCGGAACUUUACCUUUUCCAACCCUACGCUCAAUAAGCACAAUAAAUGAAAGGUUUGAUUGGGGCAAUCUCGGAAUCAACAAAGCUUCCGAUUCCUUUUUAAAACUAUAUAAAAUUCAAUAAGGACAAAAAAGAAGUUACCCCGGGGAUAACAGCGUAAUCCAACUUGAGAGUACACAUCGAAAGUUGGGUUUGCGACCUCGAUGUUGGCUUAAGGAUAUCCACACUAGUGCAACCGCUAUGAAAGGAUAGUCUGUUCGACUAUUAUACCCUUACAU